UCGCGCUCCGUCACGAGACCGUGUAUGAUUGUUAGUCAUGGGCGACGAAGCGUUUCUGCUGGUUCUUCAGCCUUAGCUGGCUAAUUUUAGCACCUUUAAAAAUAAGUUUUGUACUUUUUUUUUUAACACCACUGACAUGGCUAACAACAUAGCGAAGAAGGUCUCGUGGUCUGGAGAAGGGACGCCGCUUCUGAACGGGGCUGAGGAGAGCAGAUACAGCGGGCAGCCAUCUGGAGGCAAUAUGUUUCACAUAGGCAGGAUGAGCACUGUGGAUCUGGAGGAGGAGGCUAUAACGGCAGAAGAGCAGGACCCUGUGAGGCACCGACCGAGUGAAAUUCCGCACAAUGAGAAUUUGCUUUCGCUCAAAUAUGAGAGUCUGGACUACGACAACAGCGAGAAUCAGUUGUUUCUGGAUGAGGAAAGGCGCAUGAGUCACAUGAGCUUUAGAUGUCUGGAGAUCAGUCGCUGGUUCAUUUGCGGGCUCAUCGGCAUCCUGACGGGACUCAUCGCUUGCUUCAUCGAUGUCGUGGUGGAGAAACUGGCUGGAUUGAAGUACGACGUGGUCAAGGAGAACAUUGAGAAAUUCACCGAAGAUGGAGGUCUGUCCGUCUCUCUGAUCCUGUGGGUGGUCCUCAACUCGGCCUUCGUCAUGUUCGGAGCAAUCAUCGUCGCUUUCAUUGAGCCCAUCGCUGCAGGAAGCGGGAUUCCACAGAUCAAGUGUUACCUAAACGGAGUCAAGGUCCCACGAGUCGUCCGGCUUAAGACUCUGCUGGUGAAAGUGUGUGGUGUGAUCUGCUCAGUGGCUGGAGGUCUCGCUGUGGGGAAGGAAGGGCCAAUGAUUCACUCGGGAGCCGUUGUAGCAGCCGGAGUGUCCCAGGGCAGGAGCACGUCUCUCAAAAGAGACUUAAAGAUCUUCGAGUAUUUCCGCAGGGACACGGAGAAAAGGGAUUUUGUCUCCGCCGGAGCUGCUGCUGGAGUUUCUGCUGCCUUCGGAGCUCCUGUCGGUGGAGUCCUGUUCAGUUUAGAGGAAGGGGCAUCUUUCUGGAAUCAGAUGCUCACCUGGAGGAUUUUCUUUGCAUCGAUGAUCUCCACCUUUACCUUGAACUUCUUCAUGAGUUGCUACAAAGGGAAACUCGGCGAGCUCUCCAACCCUGGUCUCAUCAACUUUGGCGGGUUUACCUUGGAAAGUGUGCAGUAUAGUAUCUAUGAGAUUCCUCUGUUCAUAAUAAUGGGAGCCAUCGGUGGCCUUCUGGGAGCGCUGUUCAAUGUCCUCAAUUACUGGCUGACUAUUUUCCGAAUCAGGUACGUGCACCGCCGGUGUCUGCAGGUGAUGGAGGCCAUGCUGGUGGCUGCUGUUUCGGCCACCGUGUCCUUCACCAUGAUUUAUUUCUCCACCGACUGCCAGCCACUGAAGGACUCAUCGCAGGAAUAUUCUCUACAGCUCUUUUGUGCUGAUGGAGAAUAUAACGCAAUGGCAACGGCGUUCUUCAACACACCUGAGAAGAGUGUGAGGAGUCUGUUUCAUAGUCCACCAGGCACUUAUAACGUGCAGACUCUGGGACUCUUCACCCUGACCUAUUUCUUCCUGGCGUGCUGGACGUAUGGCCUGGCCGUGUCAGCGGGGGUCUUCAUUCCCUCGCUUCUCAUCGGGGCGGCAUGGGGGCGACUCUUUGGCAUCCUUCUCUCCUUAGUGUUCCCCAGUAAAAUUACAAUUUGGACAGAUCCAGGAAAGUACGCCCUAAUGGGAGCCGCGGCCCAACUAGGAGGCAUCGUCAGAAUGACCCUGAGCCUCACGGUCAUCUUGGUGGAAGCUACCGGUAACGUGACCUACGGCCUGCCCAUCAUGCUGGUGCUGAUGACUGCCAAGAUCGUGGGGGAUUAUUUCAUAGAAGGCCUUUAUGACGUACACAUUAAGCUGCAGAGUGUUCCAUUCCUCCACUGGGAAGCCCCUGCUACUUCUCACUGGCUGACUGCCAGAGAAGUCAUGAGCUCUCCGGUCACAUGCUUUAGGAGAGUGGAGAAGGUGGGCACCAUAGUGGACGUUCUCAGCGCCAUGUCCACUAAUCACAACGGUUUUCCUGUAAUCAUGCAGGCUGGCACAGAUGAUGAGCCUGGGAAGCUCUGCGGCCUCAUCCUCCGCUCUCAGCUCAUCGUCCUGCUCAAACAUAAGGUGUUUGUGGAGAGGGCGCACUCUCAAUUGGGCCGGCGCAGACUGCGGCUAAAGGACUUCAGGGACGCGUAUCCCCGUUUCCCCCCCAUACAGUCUAUCCACGUCUCCCAGGAUGAGCGAGAGUGCAUGAUGGACCUGACGGAGUUUAUGAACCCCACCCCCUACACCGUACUUCAGGAGACAUCCCUCCCUCGUGUGUUUAAGUUAUUCCGGGCGUUGGGGCUGAGGCACUUGGUGGUGAUUGAUGAAGGGAACACGGGUUUAGUUAGGUGUUCACAGAAGAGCUGUGUCUUUAGCUGUUUUUGAAGAUAGUGACAGAUUCUGCGGUCCGGAUUGAGGUUGGAAGUUCAUUCCAUCACUGAGGUCAUGGGUCUGGUGACCAGGAAAGAUCUGGCGCGUUACCACCUGGGCAAGCACGGCCUGCUGGAGGAGAUGGACCUGGCUCAUCCGUGAUCUUCACCUUCUUUCGAGUGGGAAAGCAGCUCCAUCACGUCGACUGGGUCUCAACAGUCGCAGUACAAAUACUCCAAGUUCUGUUCCAGACUUGGAACGAUCUCAGAUGUGACCAGUAGUCACAAUGUAUUUUAGGAUUUGGUGAAGGAAAUCAGCACAUUGUCACAUCUCCUGGGAGUAUCUUCAUCUCUCGCAUCAUUAUGAAAACUACGGCUCAGGUGGAAUUGUGAAAUAUAUGCUUGUCCGUUUACCAGAAAAGCACACGUUUGGUUUACGUUUAUGCUUGUCUUUAUUUAUUAUGUUCUUUUCAAAAUCUAGACAUGAUGGUAGUGUGCCGUUUAAUGGAUGUAGACAUGUUUUUCGUGUUUUAUGUCUUUCCUUAAUUUCAGUGUGCCUUCUAGGUUGCUCCGCGGCGUUAACACUGGAUCUUUGUUAAGGGUUCGGAUUCAGGUAGCUCUCAAAGCCUUAAGAUUUAUUAGAUGUCAAAUUGCUGCUUUUUGUUUUAAGAAGUUGUAGAUUAAAAUGCCAAUCAUUUUGAGCGUGAAUGUAGUCGAUAUCUACUGUAUCCUAAAUCCUUUCUGUUCAUUAGAAAGCUUCACAUGAUAAAAAAAAAUCUUAUUCAUUCCGGCCCAUAGUGUGCCAAUCAAAAUACACACUUUUUAAAAUAUAUUUUAAAUAAGGUACAAAGUUUAAUAAUAAUUCCACUUGUUCUUAACAGUUAUUUUGCACAUGUUGCGGCCUGGUUUUUAAAUUUCACCAUUGUGAACUUUUGCACUAAAAUAAAUAAAUGAACCAAAUUUAAUAAAAGCGAAAUUGCUGCUUUGAGGUCUUUGAUGUAUCAUGAAAAUUUUAUCUUGAUAUUGAACAGAUAUAUUUCAAGCAGUGUUGAAUUAUAGACCUACCCUUUCAAAUACUUAUUAUUAUUAUUAUUAUUAUUAUUAUUGUUAUUAUUAUUAUUAUUAUUAUUAUUUAUAUUGUUAUUAUUUUCAUAUGUUGACAUAAAUGUGACUAGCAAGUAGUGCAUAAUUAUUUUCCAUUUUGUACAACAAACCAAAGGACAAUUAACACAAUUUUCAUCAUGUACAGCAUAUGUUUUAAACAUAAUAUCAUUUCCUUGGUUCAUUGACAAGUUUUUACAGUAUUGAAAUAUAUUUGUGGACUAAUAAUUUGUUGCAAAUAAAAUGUUGCAAAUCA